AGUCAUUCCUUAGUCAUUCCCCGAGAGUCCGAGACCCCGACACCCGCGCCUCUGACGCCUCCCUCCCAGCCUCCCUCCACCUCUGACGCCUCCCUCCCUCCACCCUCUCCUCCAGGCAACCUCAGCGCCUCAGCCGCUUGCGCUCGCCCGCACCGGGCCUCCGGCGCUCCCUUCCCUCCCUGAGCUCCCUGCCUCCCUCCAUCCUCCCUUCAUCUCCGCGCAUCCGCGGGCCGGGGCUCCGCCCCCUCCAGCCGGCGGAGCUGCAGAUCCGGCCGACAGAGCUGCAGAUCUGGGCAUCCGGCCGGCUCUUCGGCCGAUCUGGCCCGGGUUAGUGCGGCCGGCGCGACGGAAGCCAGCGGGCACGGCGGCGGCAAGCGAGGCGAGCCAGCGGGCGCGGUUGUGGGGCAGGCGCAGAAGCGCAGCAUGGCGAAGCUCAAGCCAAAGGCGUUGCUGGCACAAAGCAAAGUGAAGAAGGUCCCUAGCCAAAUCAGUGUGAUCACGAUCUUCACCUACUUGGUCCUCGGUGUCGUAGUCGUGUCCUCUGUUUAUGCUGCUUACAAAUACUGGGUAGGCAACGGACCAGCAGUGACAGCAGCAGGCGUGGAGGGGAACUAAACCCCCAAACUAUGUAACUGAUUUUGUUGUUGUAUCAUCCAGUUGGAUAAUUUUGGUUGCUGCAGCCCAGUAAACGGAAUAUGGAUAGAUUGUAUCUUGCUACAGUUUUACUGUAAACCUUGGGUACAUUAUAUUGAUAUAUGUAUGCUAAAUUUCUUUCCUCCA